ensembl:snoRNA SNORD113-3 small nucleolar RNA, C/D box 113-3
UGGACCCAUGAUGAACAUUCUGGGGUGUCUGAAUCGAUGAUUUUGAUUAAACCCUGUAACCCCGAGGUCAGA